rnacentral:rRNA from 1 species
UACGGAGGGUGCAAGCGUUGUCCGGAAUCAUUGGGUGUAAAGGGUGCGUAGGCUGGCAUCUAAGUCUGGGGUGAAAUCUUGCCGCUUAACGGUAAAAUUGCCCUGGAUACUGGAUGUCUUGAAUCUGACAGAGGUCGGUGGAAUUCGUGGUGUAGCGGUGAAAUGCAUAGAUAUCACGAAGAACACCAGUGGCGAAGGCGGCCGGCUGGGUCAGUAUUGACGCUGAGGCACGAGAGCGUGGGGAGCGAACAGG